AACGAACGCUGGCGGCAUGCCUAACACAUGCAAGUCGAACGAGACCUUCGGGUCUAGUGGCGCACGGGUGCGUAACGCGUGGGAACCUGCCCUUAGGUUCGGAAUAACUCCCCGAAAGGGGUGCUAAUACCGGAUAAUGUCUUCGGACCAAAGAUUUAUCGCCUUUGGAUGGGCCCGCGUUGGAUUAGCUAGUUGGUAGGGUAAAAGCCUACCAAGGCGACGAUCCAUAGCUGGUCUGAGAGGAUGAUCAGCCACACUGGGACUGAGACACGGCCCAGACUCCUACGGGAGGCAGCAGUGGGGAAUAUUGGACAAUGGGCGAAAGACUGAUCCAGCAAUGCCGCGUGAGUGAUGAAGGCCUUAGGGUUGUAAAGCUCUUUUACCCGGGAUAAUAAUGACAGUACCGGGAGAAUAAGCUCCGGCUAACUCCGUG
rnacentral:rRNA from 1 species